CUACGCCGAUCAGAUGGGUUUUUUGGCUCCUUCCACUAGUGAUAGUGGUCGAUCAUCUCUUUAAUUCAUGGAACCUCCUCCUAAUUAAACACAAAGGAGGACAAUCAUGAGCGAAGCAAGACAACCGCACAACAAAGUAGACAUAGCUGUCGAGACUGGAUUAAUCAUCUACAAGUCGAAAAAGUUGUCUUGAACGUGCAACGACUAUCGAAAGGGAAGCUCCUGUCGAGAGGACACGAGUGAGUAACCGAGUAGAGUACACCUAAGCAGGUGGAAAUGGGAGAGGUACUUAGGGUAACGCCUAAGACCAAGAUAUAGUCUAAUCUCUGUGGUAACACAGAG
rnacentral:ncRNA from 1 species